rnacentral:rRNA from 1 species
UUGGAGGGCAAGUCUGGUGCCAGCAGCCGCGGUAAUUCCAGCUCCAAUAGCGUAUAUUAAAGUUGUUGCAGUUAAAAAGCUCGUAGUUGAAUUUCGGGAUUAGUACGCUGGUCGUGCCUUCGGUACGUACUGGUGUUACUGAUUCCUACCUUCUGACGAACCAUCAUGUCAUUCAUUUGGUGUGGUGGGGAAUCAGGACUGUUACUUUGAAAAAAUUAGAGUGUUUAAAGCAGGCUCGCGCUUGAAUACAUUAGCAUGGAAUAAUGAAAUAGGACGUUGAUCCUAUUUUGUUGGUUUCUAGGAUUGACGUAAUGAUUAAUAGGGAUAGUUGGGGGCAUUAGUAUUCAAUUGUCAGAGGUGAAAUUCUUGGAUUUAUUGAAGACUAACUACUGCGAAAGCAUUUGCCAAGGAUGUUUUCAUUAAUCAAGAACGAAAGUUAGGGGAUCGAAGACGAUCAGAUACCGUCGUAGUCUUAACCAUAAACUAUGCCGACUAGGGAUCGGAUGAUGUUAUUUUUAAUGACUCAUUCGGCGCCUUACGGGAAAC